rnacentral:rRNA from 1 species
UACGAAGGGGGCUAGCGUUGUUCGGAAUCACUGGGCGUAAAGGGCGCGUAGGCGGCUUUAUAAGUCGGGGGUGAAAGCCUGUGGCUCAACCACAGAAUUGCCUUCGAUACUGUAUGGCUUGAGACCGGAAGAGGUAAGUGGAACUGCGAGUGUAGAGGUGAAAUUCGUAGAUAUCAGGAGGAACACCAAUGGCGAAGGCAGCUCGCUGGGACGGUACUGACGCUGAGGCGCGAAAGCGUGGGGAGCAAACAGG